GCGGGAAGGUGGGCUGGGGGCGGGGAGCUCUGGGGGCGUGCCGGCUGCGCGGGGACACUAGCUCUGCCUGCUGCCACUGGCUCCAAGUUCCCACCCUCGCUCUCCCGCGGAGCCUGCCUGAGCCCGCCCCUUCGGUGCGGAGGUGCAAACGCCGCCGCGGUCAGCCCAGCCUGCCUUGCCGCGCGAUUUGGGCCCGUUCGGCCACCGCGGUCGGCUGGGAGCCGGCUGGGAGGACCCGGUGGCUGCUUCAUCUCGGCCUGCAGUGCCCCGCAGGGCCCAAGCUUCUCCUCGCGGUCUCCGGAGCCCGGUUCCUGGCCUGGACGCCUUGCAGGGGCCGGAGAACGGCUAAGAUAUUUCCUGCUUCGGAGAGCACUUUAAGCAAGGAAGGCUUUCCUUGGCUUCGCCUGCAUUCCAUAAAAUACUCAUUGCCUUUUCGGUUGGGAGGAGAGAAAAGAAAAUCAUGUCAGUCAAGCAUCUUGCCUGGUGAGAAGACAAGGCAGCUACUGCAGUGCAUGGCUCUGCCUCACUUCCUCUUUCUGUACACAGGCAUGUGCCCACCCAAAGACCCUCCACAGAGAUAGGCACUGCCUCCUACUACUGCAUAUCCCAUCCUUAGAGGAUCACCUGUCACAUGUUGGAGGUAGAUGUGAGGUGAAUAAAUGUGGGGUAAAUAGAACA
rnacentral:lncRNA from 1 species